GACCUCAAAUCAGGUAAGGACACCCGCUGAACUUAAGCAUAUCAAUAAGCGGAGGAAAAGAAAAUAACAAUGAUUCCCCUAGUAACUGCGAGUGAAGAGGGACAAGCUCAAAUUUUAAAUCUAUCGGGUUUUACCUGAUCGAGUUGUAAUUUGAAGAUGGCGUUUUCUGUGUUUCUGAUCAGUCCAAGUCCUUUGGGAUAAGGCAUCAUGGAGGGUGAGAAUCCCGUUCGGUUGAUCAGAUUCGCUUUACGAUACGUUAUCAAAGAGUCAAGUUGUUUGGGAUUGCAGCUUAAAAUGGGAGGUAAAUUUCUCCUAAGGCUAAAUAACGGCGAGAGACCGAUAGCGAACAAGUACCGUGAGGGAAAGAUGAAAAGAACUUUGAAAAGAGAGUUAAACAGUACGUGAAAUUGUUGAAAGGGAAACGAUUGAAGCCAGUCGUACCUUCGGGUAAUCAGCCUUUCGGGUGCGAUUCUGUGGAGUUUGAGGAGCUUUAACACCUUCAUGCUUUGCAUAUUCGUGCUCUUGGGUGUACUUGCCCGUGUGGUUGGUUAACAUCAAUUUCGGGCACCAUAAAAUGGCUGGAGGAAUGUAGCUUCGAUCUUGUAUUGAAGUGUUAUAGCCUUCGGUAGAUGUGGUGAUCGAGAUUGAGGAUUGCAACGGAUACCUUUCGGGGCUACCUGUCUGAUCUCUGAUCGUUGCUUUGGUGCUGAAAGCGUGCUUAUAGUUAUCAAAGUCGAUGGUUAAUAGGUUAGAAUGGGUUAAAUUCGUUAAGGAUGUUGACGUAAUGGCUUUAAACGACCCGUCUUGAAACACGGACCA
rnacentral:rRNA from 1 species